UACGGGGGGUGCAAGCGUUAUCCGGAUUUACUGGGUUUAAAGGGUGCGCAGGCGGAUAUGUAAGUCAGUGGUGAAAUCUCUAGGCUUAACCUGGAAAUUGCCGUUGAUACUAUAUAUCUUGAAUGCUGUGGAGGUAAGCGGAAUAUGUCAUGUAGCGGUGAAAUGCUUAGAUAUGACAUAGAACACCUAUUGCGAAGGCAGCUUACUACGCAGAUAUUGACGCUCAUGCACGAAAGCGUGGGGAUCAAACAGG
rnacentral:rRNA from 1 species